rnacentral:rRNA from 1 species
CCCGCCGGUAAUAAAGGGGGGGGGGAGGUUUAUAUUGAAAUAACUGGGGUAAAAAAGGGGCGUGGGGUUUUUUUAAAAAGGGUUUAAAACCCCCGGGUUUUAACCUGGGGAAGCCCUUGGGACGUUUUAUCUAAGUUUGGUGAGAGGGAAGGGAAUUUUCCGGGGUGGGGGGGAAAAUUGGAAAUUUGGGAGGAACCCCCUUGGGGGAGGGGAUUUUCUGGGCCAAGAAGACCGCUGGGGGGCGAAAGGUGGGGAUCAACCAGGAUUUAAUACCUUGUAUUCCCCCCCUUUAAGGAGAGGAAUGGCCGUGGGGGAGUUAAAUCCUUGAGUGGUUCAGCUAACGCGAUAAUUCUCCGCCUGGGGAGUACGCCGCAAAGGUUAAACUCAAAGGAUUGACGGGGCCCGCACAAGCGGUUGAGCAUGUGGUUUAUUUCGAUGCAACGCGAAGAACCUUACUGGNCCUUGACAUCUGCGGAACCUGGGAGAGAUCUCGGGGUGCCUUCGGGAACCGCAAGACAGGUGCUGCAUGGCUGUCGUCAGCUCGUGUCGUGAGAUGUUGGGUUAAGUCCCGCAACGAGCGCAACCCUUGUCCUUAGUUGCCAGCGUUAAGUCGGGCACUCUAAGGAGACUGCCGGUGACAAAUCGGAGGAAGGUGGGGAUGACGUCAAGUCAUCGUGGCCCUUAUGGCCAGGGCUACACACGUGCUACAAUGGCCAGUACAAUGGGUUGCCAACCUGUGAAGGGGAGCCAAUCCCAAAAAAC